AGCAGCCGCGGUAAUUCCAGCUCCAAUAGCGUAUAUUAAAGUUGUUGCAGUUAAAAAGCUCGUAGUUGAAUUUCGGGACCAAUAUGUCGGUCGUGCCUCGGUACGCACUGGCUUAUUGGCUUCUCCUUUCUGAAGAACCAUGAUGUCAUUCAUUUGGUGUCGUGGGGAAUCAGGACUGUUACUUUGAAAAAAUUAGAGUGUUUAAAGCAGGCUCACGCUUGAAUACAUUAGCAUGGAAUAAUGAAAUAGGACGUUUGAUUCUAUUUUGUUGGUUUCUAGGAUCGACGUAAUGAUUAAUAGGGAUAGUUGGGGGCAUUAGUAUUCAAUUGUCAGAGGUGAAAUUCUUGGAUUUAUUGAAGACUAACUACUGCGAAAGCAUUUGCCAAGGAUGUUUUCAUUAAUCAAGAACGAAAGUUAGGGGAUCGAAGACGAUCAGAUACCGUCGUAGUCUUAACCAUAAACUAUGCCGACUAGGGAUCGGAUGAUGUUAAUUUUUAAUGA
rnacentral:rRNA from 1 species